rnacentral:rRNA from 1 species
CUUGGUCAUUUAGAGGAAGUAAAAGUCGUAACAAGGUUACCUUCUAGCAGCUCGCUACGGAGACCUUGCACCCCUAUAGGGAGGUAGCACGACAGUAAAUAAAGCUCGCCGCGUGCAAGUCGACUAUAGUCGGCAACACAAUCGAACUGACGGGGACCUCCUAAAGCCUGCAGCACCAACUGUCCGAGGAAACUUGGAUGGGGCCCUCACGGGGUGGUAAGAGAGUGCAGGAUGAUACAAUGGACGAUCCGCAGCGAAUACCCUACCGGCGGAAGCCCACGGGUGUCGUCCACAGACUAAGUGAUUGUGGGCCGGGCAUUCGAGCCAUGUCUAAGAUAGAGUCGGCCUCUCCUCGAAAGAGUAGAGUAUAGUAUGUCCGUAGGUGAACCUGCGGAAGGAUCAUUAAAGUAACUCCCCUGUUCUUGAGCAGGGUGCUACUCAACCCGUGUAGACCUUACUUUUGUUGCUUUGGCAGGCCGCCUUCAGGCGUUGGCUCCGGCUGACAGCGCUUGCCAGAGGACCCAAAUUCUUUUGUUUAGUGAUAUCUGAGUACUAUAUAAUAGUUAAAACUUUCAACAACGGAUCUCUUGGUUCUGGCAUCGAUGAAGAACGCAGCGAAAUGCGAUAUGUAAUGUGAAUUGCAGAAUUCAGUGAAUCAUCGAAUCUUUGAACGCACAUUGCGCCCCUUGGUAUUCCGAGGGGCAUGCCUGUUCGAGCGUCAUUAUGACCACUCAAGCCUAGCUUGGUAUUGGGGGUUCGCGAUCUUGCGGCCCCUAAAAAUCAGUGGCGGUGCCCGUCUUAGCUCUAAGCGUAGUAAUUUUCUCGCUAUGGGGUCCGGAUAGUUACUUGCCAAAACCCUAACUUCUCACGGUUGACCUCGGAUCAGGUAGGGAUACCCGCUGAACUUAAGCAUACCAAUAAGCGGAGGA